rnacentral:rRNA from 1 species
UACGUAGGGGGCAAGCGUUGUCCGGAAUCAUUGGGCGUAAAGCGCGUGUAGGCGGCUUGGUGAGUCCGCUCUGAAAGCCCGGGGCUCAACCCCGGGAGGCGGGUGGAUACUGCUGGGCUCGAGUCCGGAAGAGGAGUGUGGAAUUCCUGGUGUAGCGGUGAAAUGCGCAGAUAUCAGGAGGAACACCAAUGGCGAAGGCAGCACUCUGGGACGGUACUGACGCUGAGACGCGAAAGCGUGGGGAGCAAACAGG